rnacentral:rRNA from 1 species
GACGAACGCUGGCGGCGUGCCUAAUACAUGCAAGUCGAGCGGACUUAAAAAGCUUGCUUUUUAAGUUAGCGGCGGACGGGUGAGUAACACGUGGGCAACCUGCCUGUAAGACUGGGAUAACUUCGGGAAACCGGAGCUAAUACCGGAUAAUCCUUUUCUACUCAUGUAGAAAAGCUGAAAGACGGUUUACGCUGUCACUUACAGAUGGGCCCGCGGCGCAUUAGCUAGUUGGUGAGGUAACGGCUCACCAAGGCGACGAUGCGUAGCCGACCUGAGAGGGUGAUCGGCCACACUGGGACUGAGACACGGCCCAGACUCCUACGGGAGGCAGCAGUAGGGAAUCUUCCGCAAUGGACGAAAGUCUGACGGAGCAACGCCGCGUGAGUGAUGAAGGUUUUCGGAUCGUAAAACUCUGUUGUUAGGGAAGAACAAGUACGAGAGUAACUGCUCGUAACUUGACGGUACCUAACCAGAAAGCCACGGCUAACUACGUG